rnacentral:rRNA from 1 species
GACGAACGCUGGCGGCGUGCUUAACACAUGCAAGUCGAACGGAAAGGCCCUGCUUGCUGGGUACUCGAGUGGCGAACGGGUGAGUAACACGUGGGUGAUCUGCCCUGCACUUCGGGAUAAGCCUGGGAAACUGGGUCUAAUACCGGAUAGGAGCCAUUUUUAGUGUGAUGGUUGGAAAGUUUUUUCGGUGUAGGAUGAGCUCGCGGCCUAUCAGCUUGUUGGUGGGGUAAUGGCCUACCAAGGCGGCGACGGGUAGCCGGCCUGGGAGGGUGGACGGCCACAUUGGGACUGAGAUACGGCCCAGACUCCUACGGGAGGCAGCAGUGGGGAAUAUUGCACAAUGGGCGCAAGCCUGAUGCAGCGACGCCGCGUGGGGGAUGACGGCCUUCGGGUUGUAAACUCCUUUCGCUAGGGACGAAGCUUUUUGUGACGGUACCUAGAUAAGAAGCACCGGCUAACUACGUG